rnacentral:rRNA from 1 species
AACGUAGGUUCCGAGCGUUAUCCGGAUUUACUGGGCGUAAAGCGCGUUCAGGCGGUUUGGCAAGUCGGGCAUGAAAUCUCUCGGCUCAACCGGGAGAGGUUGUCCGAUACUUCCAGACUUGAGGGCAGUAGAGGGUGGUGGAAUUCCGGGUGUAGUGGUGAAAUGCGUAGAUAUCCGGAGGAACACCAGUGGCGAAAGCGGCCACCUGGACUGCACCUGACGCUGGACAACGCGGAAAAGCUAGGGGAGCGAACGGG